rnacentral:rRNA from 1 species
AAUCUACCUCCGAGUGGGGAAUAACUGAGAGAAAUCCUAGCUAAUACCGCAUAAUACCCACGGGUCAAAGCAGCAAUGCGCUUGGAGAGGAGUUCGCGGCCGAUUAGCUAGUUGGCGGGGUAAUGGCCCACCAAGGCGAUGAUCGGUAUCCGGCCUGAGAGGGCGCACGGACACACUGGAACUGAAACACGGUCCAGACUCCUACGGGAGGCAGCAGUGGGGAAUUUUGCGCAAUGGGGGAAACCCUGACGCAGCAACGCCGCGUGGAG